rnacentral:rRNA from 1 species
AGCGAACGCUGGCGGCAGGCUUAACACAUGCAGGUCGAGCGGGCCCUUCGGGGUCAGCGGCGGACGGGUGAGUAACGCGUGGGAACGUGCCUUCUGGUCUGGAAUAACCCUGGGAAACUAGGGCUAAUACCGGAUACGCCCUUUUGGGGAAAGGUUUACUGCCGGAAGAUCGGCCCGCGUCUGAUUAGCUAGUUGGUGGGGUAACGGCCUACCAAGGCGACGAUCAGUAGCUGGUCUGAGAGGAUGAUCAGCCACACUGGGACUGAGACACGGCCCAGAAUACGACGGGAGGCAGCAGGGGGGAAUAUUGGACAAUGGGCGCAAGCCUGAUCCAGCCAUGCCGCGUGAGUGAUGAAGGCCUUAGGGUUGUAAAGCUCUUUUAUCCGGGACGAUAAUGACGGUACCGGAGGAAAUAAGCCCCGGCUAACUUCGUGCCAGCCGCCGCGGUAAGAC